rnacentral:misc_RNA from 1 species
UGCGGCUGGAUCCCCUCCUUUCUAAGGAGCACCACGAAAAGAGUGCGGCAUCGGGUCGCAUUCGGGCCGUGAGGAGUCGGUUGCCUGUAGUGGGGGCCGGCUGGGUGCACAACAACGAAUCGUCGUCUCGGGUGUCGAGGGGGCAGCAGAAUCGCUGAACACACUGUUGGGUCCUGAGGCAACACCUGGGCCCCCGUGUGGGGGUGGUGUUGUCGCCUCACUUGGUGGUGGGGUGUGGUGUUUGUUUAUUGGAUAGUGGUUGCGAGCAUCUAAGCAAGAUUUGCUGAUUUUUCAGCUGGUUUUGUUCGAGUUGUUUUCUUGUGUUGUAAGUGUUUUAGGGCACAUGGUGGAUGCCUUGGCAUCAGGAGCCGAUGAAGGACGUGGGAGGCUGCGAUAUGCCUCGGGGAGCUGUCAACCGAGCGUUGAUCCGAGGAUGUCCGAAUGGGAAACCCGGAAGGGCGA